GAAAACAUAACUGAUGAAGAGAACUUUGAAUUCAUUUUUUAUUUUGGCUGCAAAUUAGAAUCUUCUCCCUUCUCUUUUCUCUCUCUCGAGUCUGUGCUCUCCAAUCUCUGAUCUUCAAUGGAGUUCUCCAUGGAAGGCUAGAUCCGCAAUCAAUUCAAGGUUCCCACGUUGUGGUUUGAAUUUAAGUUUCAUUCUUAAUCGCAGAUUACUACAUUUCUUCUUCUUUGUCUCUUUUUAAUUUAAAUUGUGUUCAUAAUUAUGAUGCGUUUGACAAUUGGAACGGAUUAGAUCAGAUCCAUUGGUUAAUUGAUCUGAUAUAUUCUGUUUUUGAGGUAAGGAGAUCGAUUGAUUUCCUAAAUCAAUCGUUAAUCGCACUUGAAUUCAUGAAAAUUAGGAAUUGCAAUUGCGAUUUCAAUUUUGAUGAAUGCAUGCUAGAUUAUUGUCUAGAUGAAUAACAGUUGAUAGAAUAUGUAUGAGUUCGAAAUCUAAUUGUGACAAUGAAAAUUCUACUGCAUGAAUCGAAAUCUCAUAUUCAUAAUUUUGCAUGAUUGAAUUAUUGUUGCAUUGCUUUGAUUUCUAUGUAUUUUAAAAUUUUUGUUAAGUCUGUUGCAAAUCCCCCUUCCCUUUGUUUGAGAUUAAAUUUGAAUUGUUUGUGCCUUUUGUGAUUUUACCUAGGUUACUCCUAUAUUACAAAAUUCGGGGAUAAAUUAGAGUUUUCGACAAUGAUUCGGUAUUGCUGUCAAUCAUUCCACGGAUAGAAUAAUGAAGCUCCAACUCCUUCAUUGCCGUGACCAAGACAUAACUUUGAUAAGAUCUAAAAUGGUUAAUUACCAUAUUUACAAAACCUUGUUGAAACAAAAUUUUGUAGCAUAUUAAACCAAAUUGGAUAAGUUACCGAGUGCUAAACAAUAUGUUGACCUCUUUGUUGGUUAAAUCCACGCUGGACAUAAUGUAAGCUCAUGAAACACUAUUACAAAUGUGAUCUUUAGCAACUUUUUUUUUAUCUAACACUUAAUAAAAUUGUUACUAACAUUUUUUAUGACAUUAAAAAAAUAUUGUAAAAUUAUGAAUAAAUAUUACUAAUAUAUUUUUACAAUAUUUAUCAAAUAUUGUAUAUAAUUCAUAUUAUUAAAACCCCUUUGUGAUAUUUUUAGGCUUUAGGAACAUGAAUUAUAUACAACAUUUGAUAAUAUAUCACAAAAAUAUAUUAAUAACAUUUAUUCAUAAUCUGAUAAUAUUUUUUGAAUAUGAUAAAAGACUUUUAACAAUAUUUUAAAUAAGUGUCACAAAAAAAAUAUUGUCAAAAAUCACAUAUGUAGUAGUCAUAUUGCAUUGCAUCAGGUUAACUACUUCCAGUAAAAGCUACAUCUUGGCAGCAGCAAAUUAAAAACGAAUCAUUGUUUAUGCUUACAGAUUGAAAUUCUUCAUAGUCAAACAUCAAAACAAUAUCUUCAAUGUUAAUUAGGUAAAUAUUACUAGGAUGGAUAUUAAUAGGAUGACUCAUUUAUAUUGCAUCCAAUUUUUUUUUGGUUUGUCUUUAUUUGUUAUAGGAUGGUGGAGUUGAUGUGUUGCGGAGCACUGCAGUGAUGAGGUGUUUGUACAAUGGCGUUGGAGUGUCUGUAUAGACUUGGACACUCAAGUAAUGGGAUAAGAGUUAGUUUUUAUGUUGUAAUAGUUGUCUUUUAUACCGUAGGCGGAAAAAUUAGUAAUACGUGGACGCCGUGAUCUGAGUAUGGAUAACACGCCCUGCACAUGUGCCAUCCUAGUUCUAGUGAGAGGUUAUCGUCCCAAUCGAGCUGUAGAGUUCUCUUGGGCUUCGUGACUCUGAGUACUCAAAUAUCUCGGUUCAUAUAAUACUGAGAUUUCACUUCCAAAACAUUAAUCUAAUUGCAAAUUCACCUAAUUUGAAAACAUAAGGGUAUGGUGGUUAAUUAUAUACCUGUUCAACACAUGACGUUAUAUAAUAUCACUAUUCGUAAA
rnacentral:lncRNA from 1 species